rnacentral:lncRNA from 1 species
GAACAAGAUCUUUCUUUGAUUUUGUGGCUUGGAGAAGGGCAAUUUUGUGAACAGCGUGAGAAAAGCAGGUCUAUAAAGUUCAUCAAAAUUCCACAUUCACAAAAACUGCAAUUUAAUGAGAAAAGGAACCUCAUAUAAGCAAGUAAAUGUAGAAAUGCAGCUUUCCAUAUAAUUAAUUAAUCCAAACACAACUACUUCAUCUCUUUCUUCACAAUUACAUUUCAUACAUACUCACACAAACAUGCACAGGAUUGCGUUAAUUCAGUAUGUUUCUAUGUAAAGAUAUAACAGUAGCUAAUCCUCCAUGAGCAACAUGCAUAUUUCAACGACCCAUGGUUUCCAUUACAUUUGUAAUGUUUUCUGUUUCUCGUAAGGCAAACGAACUGACACUUCAUUUCCUAUAAAGUAGGCAACAAACAGCUGUCUCAUAUACUGCCCACUGAACCUCUGGCUCUAUUUCUCUAGUAUUGUUGAGGAGGUUUGUGUUUCCUGUGCUCCAUACCCAAUGAAAGGAAAAAUUCAAAGAAUUUCUAUAAUCUGCCAAACUCUACUUUCUUUUCCUGCCAGAACUUUCCACAUGGGGAACUAUCUGGACAGAAUAAGAAACAUUCAAGGAAAAACAAGGACCACUCCCCUGAUGCAAGCAAACCCCAUGGAAAAGGAAGCACAUCUUCUUUGUCCUGUGUUCAAGGUUCCUUGACUGCUCCAGUCUUACAACUCCAUUACCAGUUCUCCAGAUAAGCCAGCCAUGCAGGGUGAAUCAGAAGAUCAUAGAAUACCCUGAGUUGGAAGGGACCCACAAGGUUCAUGGAGCCUCAAUCCCUGCUCUACACAGCAGCACUCAAAACUCAAACCCAGUGUCUGAGAGUGGUGUUCAGACUUCUUGAACAUGAGCAAUUUGGUACUAUGCCCACUGCCCUGGGAGCCUGUUCUGUGCCCACUGCUCUCAGGUUAAGAACCUUUUCCUAUCACCCAACCUAACCCUUCCCUGACACAUUUCCUUAGAUCCAAUUGCUGAUAUAACUAUAAUCAAAAAUAGAUUGUGUGUUUUCUGCUGCUGAGUAGUUAAAAUGUUUGUUGUUGUUGUUUUAAGUUACUAUCUUUCUCUCACUCUCAAGCAUGUGAGUGUACCUAUCAUAGGAUUUGGGAUAGCUGUCAGCAGUAGUGGCGCUCUGGAGACAAAGAAAUAGGAAAGGACAUCUGCAUGUCUGUGUUAAAAAUCAAGGAAAUGCAAGCCAUCUAUGUCUAAUAAAUAUCAGAAAUAUCAAGUCUG